CCUUUUGGCCAUAAUGGUCUUAUAAUUUCUUCAUUGUGAGUGACGUCAUUUUUAGUACAGAACCAUCUCUUGAUAUUGCCCCAGUCAUCAAUCUUGGCCGCCAUGUUGAAAGAUCUUGAAACUUUAGUCAUGAUCACGUCUGUGUCAUCUAGAUCUUGAAAUAUCCAGCCUUGUUUCCAUGUGAAGUUUGUAGAACCAGGACAACCACUUGCUGCUUUUGGCAAAGUAUAAACACCUUGAGGCCAUAACUGCUCUGAAU